CCUACGGGGGGCUGCAGUGGGGAAUAUUGGACAAUGGGGGGAACCCUGAUCCAGCCAUGCCGCGUGUGUGAAGAAGGCCCUCGGGUUGUAAAGCACUUUCAGUGAGGAAGAACGCCUGGUGGUUAAUACCCAUCAGGAAAGACAUCACUCACAGAAGAAGCACCGGCUAACUCCGUGCCAGCAGCCGCGGUAAUACGGAGGGUGCGAGCGUUAAUCGGAAUUACUGGGCGUAAAGCGCGCGUAGGUGGCUUGAUAAGCCGGUUGUGAAAGCCCCGGGCUCAACCUGGGAACGGCAUCCGGAACUGUCAAGCUAGAGUGCAGGAGAGGAAGGUAGAAUUCCCGGUGUAGCGGUGAAAUGCGUAGAGAUCAGGAGGAAUACCAGUGGCGAAGGCGGCCUUCUGGACUGACACUGACACUGAGGUGCGAAAGCGUGGGUAGCAAACAGGAUUAGAUACCCUAGUAGUC
rnacentral:rRNA from 1 species